rnacentral:rRNA from 1 species
ACGCUCGACACCUACGGGAGGGCAGCAGUGGGGAAUAUUGGGCAAUGGAGGCAACUCUGACCCAGCAACGCCGCGUGAAUGAUGAAGGUCUUCGGAUUGUAAAGUUCUGUGACGGGGGACGAACACAAUGACGGUACCCCGAUAGCAAGCCACGGCUAACUACGUGCCAGCAGCCUCGGUAAUCUGAGCGGGCUGGCAAGGC